rnacentral:lncRNA from 1 species
AUGAUCUCUUCCCGAACCAAACAUGAAUCUUUUGAUUCAUUUGGCUCUCCCGCUCCUUUGUUUCUCUUUUGCUAUGUAUUAUGGCUAUUUCCGUAUCUUUUUUUAUUUAAUGAGCCUAUCUUCUAUCCUCUCUUUUCUGUUUGUACUUCUAUAUACCCAAACUUAUAUAAGACUAGAUGAAUAUUAAGAGGACUCUUCCAACUAGAUAAAAAUCUAUCAUGCUCAGCAAAGUUGUUUCCUUACUUGUGUUUGCUCUGUUAGUUAAUAAUUUCAAUUUCAUUAAGAAAAACAAACUAAAUAAAUGGAAAAUAAAAAUUGAUACAAUUCCUUUUAUUUUUUCUUCAAAUCCAAAAAAUUGUCUUUUUUUAUACAUAGGUCAUCAAUUCAGCAUUGGAAAAAGGGCUAGGCCCUUCUAGUAAAUAGUUCAAACUAUUUUAUCGAUAUGAGUGUUCUAUAUCAGAUAAAUUUCACACUAGCUAUUUCCCGUUUAAAGCAUUUCGAGACUAAUACUAAUGUUACUUCUUGCGUCGGAGAUCAAGUUUCUCCACCUUUGAAGGUCUACGCCUCGGAUCGGCUACUCUUCCAAUCGCCAGGAGACCUUUGAUCACUUCAGGCUUCAAUGCGUAGAUUGGAGGUUGCCGUCUUCGCAACCGUUCAUCCUUGGUCCUUGGGAGACCUUCGGUCACUGAGGUGGUAUUUCCUACAAAAAUGAGUUGACACAGCCAGAAAUUGCUCUACCGAAGGUUGUUAUAGUGAGUCUUUUGAUGCCUCGGCUCACCCGCAACCUCCAAUCAGUCGUUAUGGAGGUGACAAUCCCCAACACCUCCCCUUUCGCCAAAUGGAAGGUUUUGUCAAUCAUAGGGUUUCCAUGCAGAUGCCUCACCCAGAAGGUACCCAACCAAUGUUGGAAAAGCAUUAUAAAUACCCCUGAAGAAUGCAAUGAGGAGGGGGUUAUUUAGGGUUUCAUGAAUUGACCGCUUUCUUCAGCCAAACCAUCACCACCUCAAGCAGAGGAAUAGGGAUUAGAUUAGGUCAUCACACCAUGACUCAAAGGAGAUGAUGUGUAGGCGAAGGUACACCCUAGGCCGAUCAGCAUGGUGUUCAAGCCGAUCGACUUGGGCACUUCUAUUGUUGCAUCAUCACCAUCUUUGAUCGCGGCAUUCUUCAAAGUCAGAACAACCUCUUUUAUACAUCAAGAUCUAUAAGAUGAUAGGGUAAAGUUUUUAUCCUUCCUAGCAUGAUUGCCAUCUUUGAUCACGACGUUCGUCAGAGUCAGAACAACCUCUUUAUACAUCAAGAUCUAUAAGAUGAUAGGGUAAAGCUUUUAUCCUUCCUAGGAUUGAUUGGAUCUUUGAUAUGUAAAUGCUUCAUGUACUUUAUACCUAUCAAUGCUACAUGGUCCAUGUCCUUGUAAUGAUUAUUUAAUCACCAACAGCACCCUCAUCCAAGAUGCAUCUCCUAUGAUAAAUCAGAAGUAAGUCGUGGUCAUCUGCAUCUUCAAUAUGUUUGCUCCUGUUAGCUGUGCAAAAAGCACUUCUCUGAUGUGGGUACAUCAAAGAUGUGCCCUAUUUAGACAUAUCUCAAAUGAUCGCCCUAGCAUUGGAGACGCAUGAUGUUCAGCCGUGUCUCCAAUGUACCAUAUCAUCAGAGAUACGGCUGAGCAGAGCAUGUCUCCGAUGAUAAGAAUGAUCAUGUGAAACGUGGACAAGGCGAGGCUUGUGGCCAAAAGCUAUACUCAGAAAUGAGAUAUUGGUUGGGCCUUGAUAGUCAAAUGUAUAACCCUAACAAUCUAUACCUUUAGCUGCACCUAAGGUAUUAUUCUAAAUUGCAUUGGUUAGCUGCACCUAAAGUACACUUCUUACAGAAUAUAUUGUUCUCUGUUGCUAGGAGUUUGUUAGAGCAUGGCUAAUAAUUUAGCACGUUGCUAGUUUUAUACUAGUACCAUAUCACUUACAGUCCAUCAAAUAGCCAAUUCAUAUAAUAGUCUAUUCUUCGUAUAGGUUCCAUCAUUAAUACGUGGCACACCUUAUCCUCUCACAAUGUAUCUUGAAACAUGUGUCUCAUCUGGCUAUAAGCUUGCAACCCGUUUCUCCUCUCUCUUAUCUCCUCUCGCCUCCACCUCAGCAUUAAUGUGACGUGAUAACUCAAACAGCCCGCCUACACAUCUUAUAAUAGUUAGAGCCCCUUUGGCAGAGGUUUUGGAACGGCUUCACCUGAAGCUGUACCAAAGAGGCAUUUUGGAAACAGCUACAUGCAUGAAGCAUCUCGUGAAGCCGGAAACGGUUACACUAGCAGGAGGAGCUAGAAUUACUGGCUUCACCGGCUUCACCUCUUCAAUCCAUUCAUAAAAAAUAGGGAGAUGUCAUUUCACCAAACAUUUUUCAAAAUAACUUUAGCUCCAUUAGAAAAGCUGCUUCACUAGAGGAGCUGCAGCUGAAGCUUUUUUUGGAGGAACCACAACCAUGCCAAACAGGCUCUUACUCUUAUCCUUUUAGUUCUAUGAUAUGAAUCAAUGUGCAGAUUUGUGAUCUCCUUUUCAUUUGUGUUUUUUGGCAGGUUUCCUAGGAGGCAGAUCUUGGUUAAUCCACUUGGCAGUCACAUCGCGUAUCCAAGAAGAAUAAUAGCAGAGGUAAUUGUGUCUAGAUUUUAUUUUAUUUAUUUUGCCUGGUUGGUACAUCAACCUAGUGAGGAUCUGGUUUCAAAGCAGUAUGUUAUGUGCUAUUUCUUACUUUUCAUCAAACAAGUGACACCUGUUGUAACUUUAUGGUGAUCUGAACAUGCAGUAUGUUGAUAGAUGAUGGGUGGCUCAAGUAGCUAUGCAUGCAUGGGCUUUCUUUUUUAGGUCUUCUCCGGAUAUGCUAGUAGAUAUUAGUAGGGGUCUGGUGGUCAAAUGUAUGACCCUACCAGUUUACUAUUAGCUGCACUAAAUUAUUAUUUUCUAAACUGUAUGGCCUAUAGUAUUGCUUAUGACUUGGCUGCUCCAGCAAGUAACAAUGCAAGUCCAACACGUGAUGGCGGUGAAUCUUCAAGCCGAGAUGGUAACGGAAGGAAGAGAAUUCGUGCGAUGCUGGAAGAUGAUGAUCCCGUGAUAUGGAUGCCUAAAGAGUUUAUGCUCUCUUAAGUAUUUUGGUACAAAUUAUUUAUGAAUGAUAAUUUUCAUUAGAUAGAUUUGUUAUUUUUAUUCAUCCAAAAGUUACUGCGUUAAUGUAUCUGAGAUGGAUGCGAAAAUUGUAACACAAAAUGUGACGUGGGUUUAGAUCUGUGUGCAUGUAAUUCUCUCUUGUACAUUGGUUGUUUCCAGAACAGAACAGGUAAUUAGCACCUUAUUACUCAUUCCCCCCGACUAGAUAGCGCACUGGUCCACUCUAUUCCACAAACCAAACAACAUAUUGGUUCACUUCAUUCCGCUAACCAAACGCAAUCUUUAAAAACCAUCCGACUGCAACUCUGCAAGGGACCAGUCCAUGCCGGAUCAGUUGAUUCCGGAUGGGGUCAUUACACAAACCAAACAGGCCGUUAGUGUUAUCAUUCAAAUGAAAUACACUGCAUUUUUGAGCAUUCCACGUUCAAAAUAGGCUUACAGCCUGACUCAAGUAGAAUGAUCUCGCUUAUGGAAAACCUAACACUUUCGCAAUUGUUACAUGUGAAAAGAUUUAUCUAAAAAUGCUAUGUUUAGAACAAGGACACAGAUGAAGAUGGCAUCGCAUAUGCAGAGCACAUCUCACAUUCCAUUAUCAUUCCGUGUGAAAAGGGAAAAAUACUAUGUUUAGAACAAGGACACAAACGAAGAACCAGCACUGUGAUAGGAGGAUGAGUCCCGAUCUUUCAAAAGGUACGGUAAACUUGAAUGGUGGAGAACUUGACGUUGAUAAACCAAGGCUCCGAACGAACAGAACCUCGCAAUCACUAUACCACUGCUCCGUUGGUUAUCACCCGUGUCACACGAAUGACCUCGCCACGAAGGCUUAUCCCUGCAAGCGCAAUCAAGAACACAAGCAAGAACAGGAGAUGCAAUCAAACAAAGUUGAUUACGAGAUAGGGUCUCACAAACCGAUAAACGGCGAUACUGUUCGAUGAUAGAUUGAAUCUAAGUAAAACCCAAACCCUACUAUAGCGACGGCUACUGAAUAAAAAGGAGUUAGGGGCAUGCAAGUCCCCUGGACACAACCCUAAUGGGUUCCAACACGGUACACGGGCUAACAGCCCAACAGACGGUGACACAGCACCCUGACAUAUUCUGGAUGCCCACUUGUGUCGAUGAUUCCUGUCGACUCAGAAGGAAUUUUGAGGUGGGACCGGUGCCAUUGGAAGCUCUAUGAAAUUCUAGUUCCAACCAUAUAUAGAACGUCCAAAUCUGACUCCGUAUAUGGCCAGAGCGUCAAUUUUGGUGAAGUUAGGUUCUGGAAUCCAAGGUUGAGUAACAACCUCCACAUUCACCAAAUUGUUGCAGCUACCUCCGUCAAUAAUUAUAUGUACACGGCAGUCCUUGACGACAAGAAACAUGUUGAAAAGAUUGUGACGUUGGUGUUUGUCGUCCUCUCCCACCGUGGCGCUCAAAGCUCAGUGCACAAUUAAGGUCCUGUAGUUGUUGGUCGCAGAUGUACCAAGAACCGCCUCAGCACCAUCAUCGGAACCUAAAAUUUUAGCUGCAAUAAUAUUUUCAUCUUCAAUAUCAGAAGCACUAAUAUGCCCACGAUCAGCAGUAGCAAUGAUCGCCCGUUUGCUAGGGCAAUCUCGCAGCAUAUGGCCAAAUCCCUAGCAGCGGUGGCACUUGAUGUCGGAUGUGCGACCAGUGGAAGUGUUGGGCACCAUAGCCUUUGCUGCAACACCAGGAGGCGUCUGGGACUUGCUGCUGUCUUGUGCCUUUGAUGUUGAAGGUGCGGUGCUGUGUACAACACCGGUGGAGGGAGGUGUGGCCGCACGUAUGCUCGAGGAGGGCGCCGCUUUGGCUGGCGCUGGAAGCUGUCGUGGCGUGAAGGUGUUGUUCCGCCGCUGCUGUUGGUGACCCUGCAGUUCUUUUUCUGCCAAUAUAGCAAGUGGAAACAAACAUUGUAUAGAAUUAUAUUCCUUAUAAUCAACUAUGUCCUGGAUCUCACGCCGCAAGCCCCCAUAAAACCUAACAAUCUGGUCUUCCUGAUCCUCAACUACCCCACAACAAAGCAUACCUUUCUGCAACUCUUGGUAGUACUCUUGGACAGACAUGUCACCCUGAUCAAAGCGUUGUAAUUUCUUAUGAAGAUCAUGUCUAUAUGAUGGAGGAACAAACCUAGCGCGCAUCUCUUCUUUUAACGCAGUCCAUAUCUGUGGGGCAUUACGUGCAUUGACAAGUUCAUUCCACCAAACGAUAGCAAAAUCUUUAAACUCACUAGUGGCUUGUCUAACUCUAUGACGCUCAGGAACAAGAUGGGAGCUAAAUUUCUGUUCUACCGUCAUCUCCCAAUCCAUGUAAGUCUCAGCAUCAUAAGAUCCAUAAAACGGUGGAAUGGAAAACUUAAUCUUAGCAUAAGGAUCAUUAUCUUGCUCAGGAGCAUUAGGAUGAUGUCUACCAUUGCCUCCCAUACCUUGACGAUGACGUAGAAAGCGAUGGCACUGCUGUGCAUCAACCUCGUCGUAGUCGAACUCGUCCUUUGUGUCGUUGGGAGCAAGGCCGCUGGCAGCAGGGAUGAUGGGGGGUGGAACAUGGUGGGGAAAACGAGCCUCCACCGUGUCCAGCCGUGCGGCAAGACCAUCAACACUUGUAUGAAUCCUCUGAAAGGUGGCUGUUGUAGUGGUCUGGUACUUGUUGAAAGCGUCAGUCAUCUCCCGCAUCAUAUCUUUUAGUUCCAUAUGGGACACGCACUCAUUAUCGUCCGGAGGUGUAGAAGGAGAGGUCUCGUCCAUCAGCGCCUUUCCUGUCAUGGUUAGAACAAAACAGAAAUGAUGGCAAAAGGAUGUGAACCCUAUGACUACACUCUCUGAAGUGGAAGUGGAAAACAAGCAGUAAGAUGCGUCUUACCACUCUCUUACAAGUGUAUUACCAGCACUGCAGGUGGAAAAUGGUGACCGGUAUGACAACACGAAGAGAGUGGGUGUGAUUGCAAAGGUUACCUGUUCUGCUCGGGAGAAGGUGGAGCUUGGGAAGGCUCAAAUGCAGUAUAUAUAUGUGGCACACAAGUUAGUAACAGAUAGCAAUGCUGAAUAAGUGUCCAAAGAACUUGACCUAGUUGCUGGCCUAAAAAUGUAUUAGAAUAGUUGUGGUAGCAAGAAAGCAACAAGGAUGAAAGAUAAUGAACAAUAAAGGUAGUAUCAUUCAGCAGCUCACACAGAAAAAUAGCAAGUAUCCCACUAUUUUGUCUUUUAGCACCAGUAGGAAUCAAAUUUUUGUUUUUUUACUUUUGCUUUUUGAUAUUUUUUUCUCAACCAGGGGUACAAGGGAAUGAACAACACCAAAUAUCAGCUCAAACUGAUGAAAGAUGUGAUCGGUACAAAUUCAGGAGCGUUUGGAAAAACAGGUGCUGGAACUUCGGAGCCCGAAUCAAGUGCCUUCCUGAUUUUUUUUGAAUUUUUUGAGAACACCCAACCCGGCAUAGCGGGGGAAAUGUAUGUGCAACUUUUUGAUAGCUUUCCAGGAAAAAAAAUUCACCUCAAUCGGAGUUCCGAGCGAAAAGUUAUGCCCGUUUUAAGGAGGACCCUCCGAAUUAGGUUUUGUGGCGGUGGAAACUGAAUCGGAUGCGAACCGGUGGAUCGGUGGUGGAUGGAAAAUUAUUUGUAGAUUGAUUUAUUUUUUGGGAGAUGGCAGCGGAUGGAAGAAACAAAACUGAACUAAAACAAAUCUAAACCAGCACUGUUCGACACUGUUCGAUGACAGAUUGAAUCUAAGCAAAACUCGAACCCUAAUAUGGCGACGGCUACUGAAUAAAAAGGAGUUAGUGAUGCGCAAGUGCCCUGGACGCAACCCUAAUGGGUUCCAACACGGUACACGGGCCAAUGGCCCAACAGACGGUGACACAGCACCCUGACAGAUCUGGACACCCACUUGUGUUGAUGAUUCCUGUCGGCUCAGAAGGAAUUUUGAGGUGGAACCGGUGCCAUUGGAAGCUCUAUAAAAUUCUGAUUCCAACCAUAUAUAGAACGUCCAAAUCCGACUCCGUAUAUGGCUAGAGCGUCAAUUUUGGUGAAGUUAGGUUCUCGAAUCCAAGGUGGAGUCGAAGUCGAGUUGGACAUGGACUCCUCCUUGGUGUGGAUAUCCUAGCUCGUCCUUCUUGACUUAUUGGCCUUCUCCAAGUCCUUACUGAUCCUCUCCAUUGUUCAUGCAUGUAACCAAACGUAAGUUCAAAAAACAACUAAUAAGAUUAGAACGUACUUGGAGAUCUUGGAGAUCCAGCUGUCGCGCACGUGUUUUAGUGAUCUAUGCAAAGAAGAGAUAUCCUCGUCACACCGCAACAGUACCACUGGGCCAUGAACACCACCACUAACGGGCUGGGGUUUAAAUUUACUCAGAACCAGCACAUCCGUUCCCAAAUUUUUGCAAGCCUCCCGUGUGUCUGUUCCAGUCUAAAAUAACCCGAAAGCAAUUUAGUCUUCGGGACUCAAGAGCAAACGCCAAAGGGCUAUAGAUAAAUAAGACUAGAUUUACACAAUCCUGUGCCGUAUUUGAAAUUUAAACUGGUACAACUCUAAAAACUGCUCGAUCCCGAUCUCUCCAUAAAAAACUAGCAAGGAAUGAAAACUGUAGCUGUUCAACUACUUGCCAGACAUAAUCUCGGAAGUGCAAGGCUCGAGGAAGUCACAUUAUGCACAUCAAACCCGAAACAGAAAGCAAAGUCCAAUCUACCUUCACACAUAAUAACGUCGUGUCGAUCUGUAGUCGAUCUUGCUCAAUUACAACAUUAAUAACACAACGAACAAGGGAUCGAGACCGUCCAUUUAUCAGCAUGGUAGUGUCGAUCUGUUACUGAGGCUAGAAGGAACUUUUCUUCAUCUAAAGGCCAAAUUACAGGUACUCCAAAAUUGGACUAAAACAAUCAAGCACUAAAUAUCAGACUAGUUAGCUUGACACCAUCAUUUGAUCGCACACCUGCAGUGCCUGGUUUGCAUAGUAUCUUACAUCCACAUCAGGAUCCUCGCUGAGCUCAACAAGGCAUGGCCUCACGGUCUUCUCCACAACCUGCAGUGUAAGUAUUGAUGAUAUUCCCCAAUAACAGGAACUUCAAGUGUUGCACCUUAAAAUAGGAUAGUAUAAAAACCAUAGGAACUCACGGAUUGAUCAAGGAUCGGUAUAAGCGACUGCAGUACUUUUGCAACAUUGAACUUGAUGUUAGGAACCCUGAAAAUUUAGACCGUUAGUGAGACAUUGAAAAGAUGUGAUCCCUCUCAGAAUGCCCUGGUCACUCACCUGUCCUUUGAGGAAUUAAUGACGACUGGAAGCAGCUUUUGACAGGUGAUUUCUGCACCCAUUACAGGGGCCAGCAAUGAGAUAGCUUCCAGAAUUGUCAUGCGAUACAGGUAGUGCGGGUUGUUGAUCUUUUCCAGCACCUGAAAUAUCAAACAAAUGAGUUUUUAUGACUGCAGAAAUUCCAUGCAACAAAAUGAAUGCAAAUGCAGCAUGUGCUCCCUGAAGUUAGCUAUUCAUUGCUGGAUGCCAGGAUAAUAUGCAGCAGCUGAGAAGCAUGGAAUUUGGAGGGUGGUCAAUUCUUUUAGAGAAUACGAAUUUACUUCGUUUGGCAUGAUCAAACUUAAUUAACAUUUACAAAGGCGACAACAUUUGCAUACUGAGCCAUAGUCGAACCUAUUAUUUACAACUUAAUUAAUAUUUACAAAGGUUACAGCAUUUGCGAAUUAACUAAUUGGCACCAUUAGCAUUCACAAGGUAACAAACACACAGAGAAAACCUAAGCCAUAGAAUUAUGUACUGGAUGCUUAGCACCAAGGUCUAUCAGAGAUUAAACUAUAACCUGAGGCACAGAAAUGCAUAUCAGGUGUUCAGAUAGUAGAUAAAUAACCUGAGGAAUUAUAUGCUGCAUCGCCCACUCAGGACCAAACUCCUCUGCAAGCCGCUUCAAGUUGUUAGCAGCAGCAUCUCUGAUUGAGAAGACCUAAAAUUCAAAUUUUUGUUAGUUAAUCACACCGAUCCAACCAUCAGUCAAUACAUUACAAUGUCCUACAUGCCCUCAGGGAUAUAAGUAGAGAUGCUCAAGAGAAAUCCCCAUGGAAUUACAGUUAUGAUAUCCAGCACAUUCAUAACUGUAAUAAUACAAACCUUAUCUUCCAACCAUUGCAUGCAGAGUGCCCCCAACUUGUCAUCAAAAAACCCGACACCUAACUGACUUGCCAACAAUGGGAUGUACUCAAUUAUUGCAAGCCGGACUCUCCAGUGCCUAUCCUCUGCAAGUUCUACAAUGGCUGGUAGCAGUGAUUGAGACAGCAAAUCAAUUCCAAUAACCUGAAAGAUCAAAACAAAUUCACAAAUCAUCAGAAAAUUUGAAAAGAGAACACAAGGAACCCAACAUACUUGUAGCUGGUAAAAGAACAGCUAAUUUAAAGAUAAACAGAGAGAAAAAAGACAUAUUAACUCCAGUAUCAAAAAAUGGCACUAACCUGAUUAACUUGAUCAAGUUUGCUGAUUAUGUUGAGUCGAACAUCAGGAAAUUCAUCCUUCAACAAAGAAAGAAAAAUAGGAAGAAGUUGUUCAAUGGUAGCAUCCUGCCAAAAAUCAGAAAUUAAGAUGGAUCAGCUUUCAUUGACUGCCAACAGUUUGCAGCAAAUUCUAGAAACAUUUGUUUGCAUCACGGAUAGCACCUUCCCCAACACAGGAGCCAUCCCCAUAAUGACUGAAGCCAAAGCUGAACGAACAUGCUGGGACGAAUCUGAUGACAAUUCCUGUAAGUGCAGUUGGCAUGAGUUAGUUCGCUGAGGAAAAAAGUGUAACAAAAUGAUGUUUGAUAACUUCUUUCCACAACCUUAACACAUGGAAGAAUAUGCUGGAUUGCAAGCUGUGGACUUAAUAUGCGACAGAACUUAGUAACUUUUCCAGCAGCUGCUAUCCGCACUUCAGCCUCGUUGUCACGAAGGAGACGAACAUAUGCAGGUACUAAAUCAGCUCUAUUACCAAUAAAGAGAGUUAGUCCACUUGAAAAGUCAUGGGUUAACAUAGUACAGAAGAAUUUAGUACAUAUGUUUUACUAUCCUACUAUGUAUAUUAAAUUCAGGUGUCUUGUAACGAAAACACAUAAUACCUCGUAGGCUCAGGGCCAACAGCCUCACAAAGCUCAUACAAUUGAUUGGCAACCAUAUAACGAACACGCCAGGAUUUAUCCUAUCAAAGGAAACAAAGCAACUAUAAGCAUGUACCAUAUAUCAGUGUGAUGCAUUGAACUGCAAAAAGUUGCAAUCAUAAGACGCAACUCUGAGAAAUUAUGCAAUCACAAAUGUGUCUUCCGAUAACAUAUCCAGGCUAUGUAAACAAAUUUGUUGCAAUCUUGUAUGGAUGCAAAAUGGGAGCAACGUACCUGGGAGAAAUUGACAAUAACUGGGAGAAUAUGAGCUGCACAAUCUUGUGGUUCCAACAAUUUACCAAGUGCAGCACAGCCUUCAACAGCCAACAAACGCACUGAAUCUUGAUCUGAAAAAUAAAGAUCGUCAAGUUUUAGACAGUUCCAAUGAUGUUCAAAAUGCAUAUAACAAUGUGCAUACACUAACUCAUUGAUUCAAGCCUGGUUCUAAAAUAUUGGUCUAGUGUAGUGUGCCUUUCCGAGUAAAUUCUGACUUCAAGACAUUCAAGCAUUAAAACAUAUCUUGAACUUUUACUCAUUAUAGGGUAAAAAAGGAGAGGCAUGUUUCAGGCCCCAAGGACAGUUAAAAGAAGCACAGGCAACAUUAUGAAAAGAAACAUGUAUAAACACAUACAGUUAUCUUGCAGUGAAAAAUAAAUGAAGCAACACAAAACAAUUCAUUAAGACAUGUAUUAAAAAAAUACCAUCUUGGGUUAAAUCAUCAAAUAUAGACAUUAUUUCUGUCUUCAGAUGACUCUGUUCAACUGUGGCAGCAAACUUUCCAAGAUUUGAUGCAGCUGCUCUUCUGACCAUAGGCAUGUCAUCCUGACAUAGCUGACCAUAGAUAGUCCUCAAUUCUGUUUUCAGUUGGUCCGGUGCACUUGGAUAGGCUAUGUGGAAGAGACCACAGGACGAUACCCGAGCUGUAAACCACUCACCUGCUGCUAGCCUCUGAACAGAGUAAAACAUGGAAGAAUUAAGUUCUUGGACAUGAUAUGCAAGCACGAAAUUAACAUUCACGGAUUAUUUCUAUCAAGCACACUGAAGAUUCCCCAAAAAUGAAUUGGUAAAAUCAUAUUUUAACGAAAAUCUGCAUAAAUAAGAGAUCAAAUAGAAAACUGGAACAAAAGCAUGUGGAAUCGCAAGGUGUGAUAACAUAAAAUCUGCUAAGCAAUGAUGCCUCAUAAUCAAUGUUUUGCAUAUAUAAUUCGACCUUUGAAUUACACACCUGCAAAAGUACACUAUCAGGAACUGUCAGUUGCUAGCGCACAUGGUUUGAAAAACGAUGCUAAGCUCAGCAGUUUAGGAAUUGUUUAAGCCAAUCAAAACAAGAUAUACUUAAAAUGCUAAAGCAUGGGAAGUGGGAAACAAAAGAGCCAUACUUUAGUAGCAAGCUAAGCAUGCAAGACAAACAUGGAAAAUUAGAUAAAUAGUUGAAGGAAAUAUAAUGUGGAUGGUUUGAGCUAAAAACAUCCACAAAUAUUAAAUGGAUUAACAAUGGCAGCAUAUUUAUUUAGAACAACAACAAAAGAAGUACUUUCUGCUACUUAUGAAACUCUUACCUUUACUACUGGAAUGAACCAGUCGACAAUGUCAUUUUCCUUCAUCUGUGCACCAAUACGGCACAGAGAUUCAACUGCCUUAUCGCGGACACAAGUUUCCUCCACCGUACACAAUGUCUCCAAUGGUGGAAGCAAAACAUGAGCAUGUUCUACACCCCCAACAUAAGGAAUGAACACACCCAAUUCCUCGGCCAUUGCAAGAAGCACCUCAUCUUCAUCAUCAUUGUUUUCACUAAGAAAUGGAAUCAGUUCCUUUCUGGUUCUUUCUUCCCCAAGCGCCCGAGCAAUUGUGGAAAGUCUUCUGAUUGAGUUUAGACGCAAUUGGAUAUCCUCAUUCUUAAGCUCGUCAAUCAGUACAGCAAUUGGAUACAGAGGCUCAUCAAUCAUAGCCAUCAGGUUUAUCAAGGAUUUCUGAAUUUGUAAAUGAGGAAACAUAAGGAACUUUGUAAUUCUAAAAUUUGUAACAAAUAAAAAGGAAAAUUCAUUAUAACUUUGGUAGCAUAAACAAAGAGAUGCAAAUUAGAAAGGCAUGAUUGGAUAAAAAAUCAACAAUAAGAUCUCUGAUAACAUAAUCAAAGAUUAGAUGAACCAAACUAUUGCAAAAUUUACAAUUCAAGAAGUCCCUGGGAUUGACUUGCAUGAACAAUAUAAGAACGCUACUGUGACAGACAUGGUCCCGAGAACCUAUCCAAACAACAAGAUGCCUACCUAAAUAACCAGUAGGGCACCGCCUUCCAGGCUCCCACACACCCGGCAACCAAAUCCACCUCCACACACGCCGCCUAGCUCUCCCAACCAACAAGAAUCCAAACCAGGACGAACAAGAAACUCCCGCAAUCUCAUCCAAAACCAGCGCAAUCGAACCAAAACAACCCAGAUCUGGAAGGGGAACCACCCGAAACCGCACGAAGGCGGCACAAUCCCCCGACCCGCGGCGCCAGCGGUUGGAUCGAGGACCGGCCGCGGCGAUUGUGGAGCGUGGAACGCGAGAAGCAGAUCUAGCGGUGGAAGCAGGGAGAGAGGAGCGGCGGAUCUUACCUGACCUCCGGGGGGGCUCGGAUCGGGCUUCGGCGGCGGCGGCUAGGGCGGCCGGAGAAGGGGCAGGCAGGGGUACGAGCGCCCGAGGCGUCGCCGCUGGGAGAGAGAGAGAGAGAGAGAGAGGGAGGGAGCGGGAGGUCAGGAGGUGCGACGGGGUUGCGGAAUGCGACGGGGAGGUCGAGACGGACGGGAGGCAGUGGACGCCUGGACAGGAAGAGGGUGCUGGGGGGCGGGGGUCCACGGAAGAUUGGUCAGGGUGUGGGCCGGGACGGAGCGCCGCCGUCGGAAGGAGGAAUGUCUGCCUGUUUGGUGUAUCAAAGUAUUGGGCUGAAUUAGAUUUCCGCUUCGUGGUAUUUGGGCUCCCGAUGGAAUGCAGGGAAAAGUCCGGUAGAAAAGUUCGACUUCGAAUCUUAAAUUAUAAAACUGAGUAAUAUGCAUCAUCCAACUAUCGAAAUCACGCAAAUUUGACUCUUUGGAUAGUUUCAAAGGUGGUUUUGUAUUUUUUUAAAAAUAUAAAUAAAUUUAAUUAGAUCUAAAAAAUUAAAACUAAUCCAUUUUAAAUCAGAAAAAUAUGAACUAGUAUCAAAAAUUUUCUAAAAAAUGUAAUCUAUCUAUUAUUGCUCAAUUUGAAUUUUAUUUAUUUCAAAAUUAAUAGGCAUAACGAUAAGCAACCAAAUACUGUGAACAUAAAAAAAUUGGAUCCAAAUAACUGAUAAAUAGAGUGACAAUAGAUCUGUUACACUUUUAGAAAAAAAUUUAUACCCAUUUCGUAUUUUUUAUUUAAACUGAAUUACUUAUGAUAUUUUAGUUUAAAUUUGAAUAUUUUUAAUUUUUAUAAAAUAAAAAACCACCUUUGAAAUCACCCAAAGGGCCAAAUUUGCCUGGUUUUGACAUUUGAAUGGCCUAUGUUAUCUCGUUUUGCAGGUGAAGAUUGGAAAUCAGACUUUUGUACUAGUUCGAGGGUGAAACACACCUUCCAUUUGAGGGCUUGUUUCCAAGCAUGAAACCCCGUCGGGUUCCCUAUCCUUUCCACUCAGAGGAUGUUCGCGUGGAAUAUUUCCACGAGCCAACUAAUACGUGCCUUUGGAAACUAGUUUUGAUGGGGUUCUCGGACCCAAUCCCCGCGAUUUCCAAAUGCAGUGGCUUGGAAUCUUUCUCCUUCGUCUUGGUGGCCCCUUUUUGCCGGCUAUCCUUGUUAUCACAAGUCGUUUCACUCGCAUACGCUUGGGAGCUGAGGAUUAGGAUGGCGGAGCAGCACUCUAGAGGAGGAGGAAGGUCUCGGCAACUACUCCUGGCAGGAGAAGAUCAACUGCGAUUGGCCUGGAUCUGAGUCUGGAGGCGUCGGCGGCUGCAAGACAGAGGAAGAUGAAGGGCCAGAGCAGUCAAAGCACAAGCGAAAGGGUAAGUAAACCCUAAGUCACAGCGUGGUUAAAUAACCAGCGAUGGCCCUGAAAUUACUAUUCGGAAUGCGAAGAGUUUUUCUCAAGAUAAGAUUUAUUUUGAUCGGUAAUUUAGGGUUUCUUUGGGAAAAAUUAUUUGUUUAACUAUUUUUCAGGGAUGCCAUCUCGAAAAAAGGGGGUUUUGAAUUUAUGUACCAAUUUACUCAUUUUCAACCAUCAAAUCAAACUCGUAAAUUUUUUACACAACCCAUGCCACGACUUUUUGGAUCCUUUUUCCAAACCUUGGAAUUUGGAUUCAAGACUCGGAGGCUGCGGGACAUGUGUCAUCGAUGGCUUAUUUUUUAAAUUUUUAGAAGAUAAGGAUAGAAGAUUUAAGACUAAUUUGACUCUCAGCCUGAUUUUUCGAUUCAACCUAAGGCUCGGGGGCUAUUCCAUAUGGAGUGCGAGUUUAAUCGCACCCCAUAUAAAGAAAGAUUUGAAAACUACUCGGGGCAUGAGCACCUCUCAGCCUUUAUGCAGCCAAGAAAGUACUCAGAAGACACCUUCAAGAUGAAGUUCCAAAGAAGUUGAAAACGCCUUUAGAAGUACUAGGAAGCCUGCAGUACUCAAAUACGAAGAGCUCGGGGGCUUGUCAGACCCGGGACCACAGGACUGUGCACUUAGCAUAGACUUUCUGGAAUAAGGGAUGGGGCAUGUCCCAUACCUUAUACCUAUUGUAAGCUACUCGGACACGAGUAGAACUAGUCGGAACAAAAGGAAACUACCUGAGUAGUACUCGGGGUAGGACUCCUGAGCUCGUAUCUGGCUAGAAUCUCCAUGUAACCCUAUCCCCCAGACUAUAUAAGGGCGGGCAGGGACCCCCUCCAAAACAUCAUCAAUCUAAGACAAUACAAACCACCACACAGGACAUAGGGUACUACACAUAUUACGGCCUGAAUCUGUCUAAAGUUUCGUGUUCCUGAUCCUGGCAACACCCUACCUACAAUCUACCACCUCAGGCGUAUCCCUCGGUGGGCUUGGAGGUUAAACACCGAUAGCUGGCGCGCUAGGUAAGGGUGUUCAUCGAACAUCCACUAGCGAACUCAAUGGCAUCUUUUGACUUCACCAGGCGUUGUGCUCGAUGAGGGCACAACCUUUAUCUUCGGCUCCUGGAUCUGCAUCGCCAACUGCUCGGGUGGCUUCAAUAGCCAUCUAGUCGACAACAGGGAGCCGGAGGCAUCUGCAGCAACCCAAUGCAGUCGUCUCGAUGAGUUUGUCGACAACCUCGACGAGAUGCUGCUCCCUGACCUAGCCAGGGAGAUUGAGGAGGAGUCUGUUUCAGACGUGAUUUCGACUUGUGCUGCACCAGGUGACGGGUCUAGGGACCCUGGGUCCCCAGUAGGCCCACCUCUUAUUGACUAGUUCAAGCCCGCGUCUGGAACAAGCACUCGUCCGUAUAAGGCAACAUCUUCAUCUUGGCUGUCUCGGCCCACAACCUCGACUGACAACUUGGUCGGGAUGACUAAAUCCCAUAUCCUUGACUGUGGGAACGGUCGGAGGCUGGGUCCGUACCAAGACGCCGACCAGGGGUUCCGACUAGGCUCCGCCUUACACGUGCCCGCCUUCCCGACUGGCACGCUGGUCGGGAGGCCAGGCCUUGCUUACAAGCGGGCCCCAGGAGUAGGUACAAAGGAUAAGGAUGAGCCUCGGGGUCAACCUGUCGUACACGGCCAACCACUCCCUCCAUGGGGGUUACAGUCCCCUCUGCUGUGGCAGCAGGGCGCCACUAUUCUAUCUACCCGUCCUCGUGAAAGGACGGGGUGAAACGUCAUCAUGAUACGGCCCUAACGCCCCCGUCACGACGGAGUGGCCGAAAAAGGUGCCAAGGGUGGGGCGUGAUAGCCGUACCGUACCUAUCGAGCCCCCACAACCGCUAAUCGACAGAACAUGACACAUAGGGACAAGACAAGACGCUUGCCCCACGACAUAGGACUUGGACGGUGGUCACUGGAAGACUCCGACUAACGGAAUGGGAAGACCCGACUGACGAAGCUGACGACCCCGACCGGCGGGGCCGGGAGUCCUUUCUUUCUUUCCUCACACCCUUAGAUCUCCUGUAAUGGAGCCUCCCUUGGGCUAUAAAAGGGAUGGUCUUCCACCUAGGAAAAGAGAGACAACUCAUCACAUCCUCCACUCGAAAGCUUGUAACUCCCCAAAGUCUCCCGAGCACCUGGGCUCAAGCAAUACAACCGACUGACCCCUGACUGGACGUAAGGCAUUUUGCCUGAACCAGUAUAAAUUUUGAGUCAUUGUGUGCUAGGCCACAUCUGAUCACGAUGCAUGAUACACACUUCGAGUAGGUUUAGCUGCUGGCCAUUUCCGAAACCGACACCAGGACUUCUCGGGUCGGAUUCUAUCCGAUCUGGGGAGGGGCGUACCCGACUCCUAUCCGAGCUACGCAACGCGGCUUCUGUCUACCAGGAGUCCAUGCAAUUUGAGUCCCUCUCUAACCUGAAGGAGAACUUGGAUCGCCUACUCAAGAUCGGAGAAGGGGGAGCCACCGCUUGUUGGGAAGCCCCCAUCUUCGACAAGUACUCGGACUUGGAUGAUGACUCCAAACCCUUCUCAGGUAGUCAUCUGGGUCUGACUAUAACAUCAACACUGCAAGGCCAGUUUGUGUACUGGAAGGGCAUGGAGCCCUCUAAGCUACUCGAAUAUGACUCCCGCCUUGUGGCCUUCACACGAGAACUGCCUUUCCAAGGAGGCAAGCCCCUCUCUCCCAUCGUUGAGGAGAGAGAGGGUGAGAUAGUACUAGUUGACCAUAGCUCCAUUGGUGAAUUCUCGCCAGAACGACAUGUCUACAUGGCCUCCAUCCAUGAGCAUGGCGAUGAUGACGAACCAGGGAGAGAGUAUGAUGAUGAACUGCUCGCGGAUGUCUCUACUGAAGAGCGCACGGCGGACGCCCCUCAAGAUGAAGACGAGGAGUGCAAAAGGAUUCGAAGGGCGAAAAACGCCAAACAUGCUAAAUGCAGGCGGAACACAGAAGCUCGCUCUUCCAGUGCAUCACCCUCUGCAAGUCCCUCAAUGCGCCUCUCCCCAACCAAGACAGCAAGGGGAAGGAGAAGGAGGACAACAAGGGAGACAAGUUGGGGGCGCAAUGUUUCCAGGACCCCAAAAACAUCGUCAACAUCAUCUUCGGCGGCAACAGCGGCUUCCCCACCAAGCGCGCGCAGAAGCUUACUUUGCACGAGAUACUGUCUGUCGAGCCAGCGAUACAACGGCCUCUUGAGAUGCAAUGAGGCCCCGAUCUCUUUCUCCCGAGAGGAUCAGUGGACCAAGUUCUCUGAGCCGGGAAAGUUCCUGCUUGUUCUAGGCUAUUUCCGGAACCGACAGUUUGGCGCCGUCUGUAGGGAGGACAUCGUGCAUCCAUCAUCCCGGCGAUCGGAUGGCCUCCAUUUCCGACACCUCCGACCUUGCGAGCUUGGGCGGUACAAUCCGCUUUGGCUCACUGGAGUUUCCCGGGGUCCCGCGCUUUGGGCUGUGGAAAACCUCCCGUCUUCAUGCCCUUCCAGGCCUUCCGCUUUGGAAGCUUGGACUUCAUUGCUGUCACACCCUAAAAUAUUUAAUUUUAGGAUGUGAAUAUCUUUUAGAAUAUGUUCAUCCAUCUUUAGGAUUUUUCAAGAAUUUUCCAGAAUUUUCUGGAAAUUAUUCUCUAUUUCCAUAGAGCUAAAUCCAUUUAUUGGAAAGCUCUAAAAAAUUUUCUUGGGCUCUGAGUAUUUUAUUUGGACUCGUUGUGUCCUGGGUUUUACCUGAAAUUUUUGGGAUUAUUCAGGAUAUAUUUAUCUAGACUUUUCUAGAUUGAUUUUAAGCUUGAAAAUAUGUUCUGAAAAAUGAAUUCGUUUUCUUUUCAUCUUGAGCUGGAUUCAACUCAUUUUGGGUCUAUUCUGCCUUAAACCCUACAAACGUGCUGCGUGCGAGCUUCUACUUGGUCACCACUGUUAUGUCGUCAUGUGUCGCGUUUCAUCGAGGAAAUAGACCAGAAGCUUCUCUUUGAGGAACCCUAGGCGAACCCCCUCGCUUCCCUUUCUCUUUCUAUCCCGGAGUUUCAUUGCUCGUUGAAGCUAACGAACUGCUAGUUCCGAUAACCAGAAUCGCCGCUGCAAGGUCCUGAACUGAUCCGCCAAUGACCUAGCCUGAUCUCUCUCUUUUCUAUUUCAUGUUCUCAAAUAGCAUGUUUGUGUUCAACCAGUAUUGUCAGCAUGUUUUCAUGUUUAGUCUCCACCUGAACCUAUUUCGGCCCAUAAUCGAAAUUGCUCGACCACUCUCGUUUCCUCUCUCCUUUACCUCUUCCUUCCUCUCUUUGCUCGCUAACACUGUAGGGCCUGCUGGUCAGCCCAAUCUCGUUUCUCCCGUGGGCAAUCUGGACUCAAGGACGAGUCUCAGACCGAUUGUGACGCCCUGAAAAUUCACCAAAUUAAAUUACGCGCUAAGAUGUUUUUGUUCAAAGCUUUGUCGUCGUCGAAGCUCGUUCAACCCUAAAACCCUAAUCCUUUCCCGGAGACGCCGCUGUUCAGACGCCCGACUCCAGCUGUCUGCCCAGCCCUUUUUAAUAUCUGUGCCCUCUUUUACCACAUCGCCGUCCCAUUCCGCACCGCCCGGCGGUCUGUCGACCACGCGCGACCGCCUACCCGCGAUCCGCGCCGACGCGAUUCCCCCUCCCUCUUUUCUCUUCGCGCAGCGUGCGAAUGUCGCGCGCGCGUGGCCGACCAGCCGCGGGCACCGCCGCGAAUAUCGCCGGUGCGCGUCGCCUUUCUUUCUCCCUUUCUCUUUUUCCUUCUACCAUUUCUUCUUUUCUUUUCCUCCUCUUUUCUAUUUUCCUCCUAUUUCCUUUUUUUCCUCUUCUUUUCCUUUCCCUUUCUCCCCCUUUUCCUUUCUUUUCUUUCUUCUCCCCUCCCUCCCUUCUCUCUCUCUCCUUCCUUUCCCCCUUGCCGCGCGCCCGAGCGCCGCCCUGGCCACGCUUGCCGCGCGCGAACCCCUGCCCGGCCUCCCUCCGCGACGCGCACGCGCAACGCGUGGCCGCGCGCGCCGCGCCGUGUUGGCCGCCGCUCGCGCCCCCGCCCUGGCCCGCGCUUCGCCGCGCCAUGCGCGCACGCGCGUGCUCGCCCCCGAGCGUAGCCGCGCCGCCCGUCGCCAGCCGCGCCGCCCGCCGCUGUCCCCUGCCGCACCCCGCGCGUGCGCUCGCCACUGUGGCCGCACAGCCCUCCCCCACAUGCGGCGCCUCGGCGCCCUCGCCACACCACGACGGCCGCGAGUGGCCAAGCGCCAUUAAUGGCGCCCGCCGAGCCCGGUGACCGGUCCCGCCUCCCCAUCGCCUCGAGCGCCUAUAAAAGGGGCCGAGGAGCACCCCCCGGCUCCCCACAACCUGCACCGCCGCCCAGCCCCUCGCCUCCCCAAGCCCGGCGCCGCCCCGCCGACCCACCUAGCGCCGCCACCCCUGCUCCCGUGGGCACGCCCCCUCGAUCCACCUCGGUCCAAGGUGAGGCCGGGGAUGGAAUCCCCUCGCCUCCCCCUCCCUUUUCCCCCCACCCCCGGGCCGCCGUCGAGCCCUGGCCGCCGGAAUUUGGCCGGCGCAGGAGCUCUUCCCCCCUUCCUCUAUUUCCCAUGGAGAGGGGAGGAAGAAAGGGCUUUUUGCCCAAAGCCCCCCCCCCUUUUCCUGUAUUUCCCCAAAAGAACCCCCCCUAUGCGUCACUUUGUAUAAAAAUCCCUCCACCUUUGUUUAUUUCGAGUACUAGCCCCCACCAUGUGAACGUAAAAUCAAAUAAACCCCCACCUCUUUCUAAUGAGCCCCAAACGUCUCUAGAAAUUAUGACCAAGUCCUUUCCACACCAUAUAUAUUUACAAAUAGGCCCUCGGACCCUUGUUUAGACCCUAACACCCCGUUAACUCGUCAUUUUAUGCGCCAAACGACCUCCGAUCGACCUGAAACUUUACCACACCAUUUCUAGUAUUGUUCCAACCAUGCCAUUACGAAACCACCCAAAAAUAUUACCCCUAUCUCUAUAACUAAAUUAUUUCCGAUUCAAGCUCAAUGAUAAAAACUUUUAGUUCUUUCGCUUGAUUGUGUGCCUGUUUGUUUGCGUCGUAGGACAGGGAGUGAAUGAGGAAGGUCCCGACUGUGAUCAAGCGAACGAGGACCAGUUCUGCAACCCCGAGCCCGAGGGAUAGUGCUUCGAUCAGGACCUCCCGCAAGGGUUUGAUGAUGGCAAGUUCAAUCCCGCCCUUUGAUGCAUGUUUCUGUCCUAGUUUUUAUAAACACAACCCAGUGGCCUAUUUUAUAAAAUUGCAUGGUUUUGCUUACUGAAAAUAUGGUAGGAUAGCCACCCUUGUUUGUGAUAACCAUACCUUGACCACCUGGUUUUAUAAAGAAAGUGUGUGUGUGUGUGGGAAGAGAUAAAAUAUGGUUUUGAAAGACGAGUCAGACGGAUGGAUGGCAUUUCUGUAUGAAUUGCCGUUGGUGUGCUCGUACCUGUGUGGUAGAGCGAGGAAGGGAGAUAUCCAUCUUGUCACCCCUAAGGACCGAGUUGAUGUGUCAUCUCACCUAGCUUCCUAUCGUGCAAACCACUUGACCGUUGUAUGGGCAACGGCUUAGCAUAAAUCCCACUAGUUAGUCUGAUAGCCAUCAGGAGAGCUGAGAGCAACGGGUGAUCAAGGAGAAGGGAUAAGCUCUGUGUGACUUAUGCCCCGGUUAAACCUCGGAGAUAGGUCGAAUGACCCCUUGAUGGAUCCCGUGGUGGCUAGUCAGGUCUAGCUAAGGUGGGUAAUGGCUUUGUUGGGAUCUGUACCGACACUAAGGUGAUCGUGCUGUGGUACCCCACCUGUGGGUAAAGUUGCACACCUCUGCAGAGUUAAAAUCUAUUCGAAUAGCCGUGCCCACGGUAUUGGGUAAGUUAUGGUGUGGUCACAUAACUAGUGUUUCUCUCCGGGAAUGGUUGGACUGGUGUGGGUUGUUUGGAAAGUGUCCGGCAGUUGUGCCGUGUGCUACGGCGGACGGGGAGUCCGGUAGCGGCUUAAAACUUGGAUCCUGUGUGGAUCAACAUCAUGUGCUUCUUGGUACUAGAAAACUUGUUUUGAAAAUGUCUUUAAACGAACCGUUGCAUACAACCGAGUUUUCCGCAAAUGAACCAUAACCGUACCCUUGGAUUGUCCUGUGCAUUGAUUUCUGUCAUACCCCCUCCGUGGGUGUGAUUGGACUUGCUGAGUACGUUUGUACUCACCACAUUCUUACUUUUUACAGAAGAAGACCCAGACUACCUCCCCGAAGACGUCGAGUAGGGUUUCGUCCUGCAACCAGUCUUGCCUGUGGUUAGGGCCACCGCUGGAGUUCCGCAUGGCACAAGACUCUGAUGACCCUCUUUUCAUAGCUAGUAUAGUAGUGUGGGUUUUAGUUGUAAUCCUCGCGAUAGUGGCGCUUCACUGCCCAUUACCGCGCAGAGUUGUACGGUGAUGUACCAUCUGAUGUAAUAAAAGUGUUAUCAGCCUCCUGGGACUGAUAAAGCAUCACUUUUAAGUCUUCCCUGAUGGGGGACGCUUCAGGUGGUAUCAGAGCCGUAGGCUGGCCGUAGAACGUGACUCUAGACACGAGACCCUUUUUCCAGGCCCUAGGACAUGUUCUAACUUAGUUCUUUUCCUGCAUAAACACUCACCGCUGAUUCUUGCCCCGUUCCAGAUGGCUGACAAUGGAUGGGUUGACGGAAUCUGCUACGCAGAACCCGGCCUUCCUAAGUUAUUGAUACUCAGCCUGGAACGCAUCGGAGUUAUGGAACCACCAGAGUAUGCCUACCAAGAAUACACCUCCAAGGGCAUCCUUCGGUGUGACAUGAUGGUCUUUGUGGGAAAAAGCACCCGCUACCCUGAUGUGGACCCCUGGUUCAUCUCCACCUCUGGCUUGCGCUUCCCUGACACCUACCGAAAGGCCGCCCGUAAAGCCCUGCGACGACUGCGUGUGAUCUACAAGCACUACCUUCAGCAGACUCCUAUGGGAUUUUUCCCACCUACUGAAGGAAGAGGACGCACUUGGAUUGCCCGGAUGAGAGGACUCGGAAGAGAAGAAGAAGACCUAGAAGAUACGGUCUCCCACCUAUCCAUCUACCUUACCGGCUUGGAUGAACUCUACCGCGAACAGGCGGCACAACUGAAGCAGCUAAUCCAUAGGGCAGAAAAAGCAACCCAGGAAGCAGCUGGAGGAGCAGCCUUUGGAUGGUAUACUUCAUUAGGCCUUGACUCAAUCCACACCUAGAAGCAGCUGGAGGAGCAGUUUCACAUUCAAUACCACUCGGAAGUUGCGGAGGCCGGGAUUGCUGAUUUGGCACAAGUCCGACAGAAGUGAGGAGAAAUCGUGGAAGAAUAUAUCCAAUGCUUCAGAGAGGUCAAGAACCGAUGCUACUCGACCCGUAUUUCAGAAAAGGAGGCAGUCAAGCUGGCAUCCUUAGGACUUGUAAAGCCGAUCAAGGAUCUGGUUUUCCAAUUGGAGUUCAAUUCUUUGGCGCACCUGGUGCAGAAGUUAACAACGUAUGAGCAGCGCCACCUAGAACUGUACCAGGACAGGUUCAAGCGUCAAGUAACACUGAUCGACAUAGAAGACACUGAAGACUCUGGGGAUGACCAAGAAGUAGCAGUUGCGGAGUGGAUUUGGGGGGCAAAUCCCGUGUCCUGUAAGUGGGUGAAAUAGCAGGGACCUGCAAAAGGUUUUGACUUCGACAUGAACAAGGUUGAACAGAUAUUUGAUCUAUUAUUGAAGGAGAAGCAGUUGAAGUUACCUGAAGGCUGCAAGCUUCCUAGAGCACAAGAGCUGCAAGGGAGAUCAUAUUGCAAGUGGCAUCAUUCUUUCACUCAUAACACUACUGACUGCAAAGAACUUCGUCAGCAGAUCCAAUUGGCUAUUGAGCAAGGCCGAUUGAUCUUAGGUCAAAAUGCCAUGAAGAUCGAUACCCAGCCUUUCCCAAGCGUGAAUAUGGUAGAGUGUUAUGACCGAUCUACGAGAUGAUAAUUGGAUUUCACACUUGGCAUUAAUAUGUCAGGGCUUGCACCACGUCGCCGCGCUAGGAAUGAAGAGGUCGAUCCCUGCGAUCGGUCCCCAAAAGGGGAAAAGGGAUAUAUCACGGAAGAACAAAUAAGGCAUGUCAGGAAUCAGCGGCCGGCUUCUUCCGAUCUCCUCAAAAAGUAUGAAUACCAGUACCAGCAACGCCUCCAGCAUGAGUCGGAGGAAGAAGAAUAUGAGCGUCGUAUUGGGAAAAGUUUGAAGAAACGGGGAGAUACACAUGAUCAUUGGCAUUGCCCAUUCUUCAAGUAUUGUUGGGAUUCUGGCAUGAGCCGAUUGCCUACCGUCAAAGAUUGCCCGGAGUGUAGAUCUUGGAAGCGUGAUGCAGAAGGGGUCUCAGUAUUUUGAUGUUUGGGACUUGUGCCGCCCCAGCAUGAGCAAAUUCAGCCACCGCGCAAAAAGGUGGACUUUGAAGAGGAGGAGGAUAAGUAUCACCGGCCGCGCUAGUGCCCUGAUGGGCUUAACCGUUCCUAGAAACACAGGGUACAGCGGUUGCGCAGUCUGGAGGAAGCCGAGGCGAGAUAUCUUGAGACACUAAGAAAGGCGCACCUGGAUUUGGCGGACAAAGUCCAUUACACCUAGAAGAGGGAGUCGCGCCCUCCCAAGAAGGAGUGGCGUCCAAAGCCAACAAGAGCCGAUGCAAAGAUAUCGGCUGAUGCACAUAUGGUGUUUGUACUCCCCGCGAAGUUCCAUGCCCAAGGCCGUGAAGAGUUACCGGUAGCCCAACUUGACUUGGGGUCGCGGCCAGUUAUAUUUGAUAAGCCUUGAGCGAAGAACUACAAGCAUUUGAAGGCUUUACACCUCAAGGGUUACAUAAACGGCCAGCCUAUCAACAAGAUGUUGGUCGACACAGGAGCAGCAGUUAACAUAAUGCCGUACUCAGUGCUGCGUUGGUUGGGGCGGUCCACUGGAGAUCUGAUCAAGACCAACGUCACGCUGAGCGAUUUUAACGGCCAAACAUCAGAGGUACAAGGCGUCCUUAGUGUGGAUCUGACCGUGGGAAGCAAGACUGUCCCAACCUCUUUCUUCAUUGUCAACAGUAAGAGUACAUACACUGUCCUACUUGGCAGGGAUUGGAUCCAUGCCAACUGCUACAUCCCUUCCACAUUGCAUCAAUGUCUAAGUCAGUGGGAUGGAGACAAGGUAGGGGUGGUUCAUGCGGAUGACUCGAUCGAGAUCUCAAUUGCCGCCAUGAGCAUCUGGGACAUGGAAGAUCAAGAGCCAAUCUCAGGGAUCAGUUUGGAAGGUUGUGAUCGCGUCGAAGCUACAAAAAAUGGGGUGAGGCUAGUCUUAUCCACUAGCCUUACGGAGUAAACGAAGCACAAAGGGCGAGCUAUUUUAACGCACUUCGCGAGGCCGAUCCCCGCAAUCGGCCCCAAAGAAUAAAAUGUAAAUUUUUGAUGACAAGUGUUUUACAUAAUUAUAGCAGUUGCAAGGAGGCCUGCUCUAGCAGCCGACCAUACAUCAAUUGUAAAGUUUCAAAGAUCAAUGAAGGUUAUAAAGCGGCCGAUCUUAACGAUCGGCCGAAACUCUUUUGUCAUUUUCUCUGUCCAUUUGCAAUGUUGACUUAACAGAUGACGGAAAGUUAGGAUACAGGUUUACAUCAAAGAAAUUGACAUUGGUCCUGAGGAUAAGCCAUGACCAACAUUUAUCAGCAAAAAAUUAAGCCCGUGUCUACGAGUGCCAAUGAUAGCUUUGCUGAAGGAGUAUGCAGAUUGCUUCGCCUGGGAUUAUACGGAGAUGCCUGGGUUGGACAGGAGCAUAGUCGAGCAUCGGCUCCCUCUCAAGAUGGGAUUUUGGCCAUUUCAGCAGCGAGCCGACAAAUGAAGGCUGAAGUUCUGGUGGAAGUCAAGAAAGAGGUGGAGAAAAUGCUAGAAGCAGGAUUCAUCAGGCUGUGCAGGUAUGUCGAGUGGAUUUCAAGUGUCGUACCUGUGCAAAAGAAAGAUGGCCGAUGGUGAGUCUGUGUAGACUUCAGAGACCUCAACAGGGCUACUCCAAAGGAUGAAUACCCGAUACCUAUCACGGAGACAUUGAUCAAUGCAGCUGUUGGUCACAAGAUUUUGAGUUUCAUGGACGGCAACGCCGGCUAUAACCAGAUUUUUAUGGCUCCGGAGGAUAUAAACAAGACAGCGUUCAUAGUGUCCGGGGCUGUAGGACUGUUCGAAUAUAUGGUCAUGACCUUUAGGUUGAAGAAUGCCGGCGCCACGUAUCAACAUGCCGUGAACUAAAUUUUUCACGAUUUGAUCGGCAAGUUGGUGGAGAUAUAUAUCGAUGACGUCGUGGUGAAAUCUGCGUUGGUUGAAGGGCACUUGGGAGACCUUCGACAAGUACUAGAACGAACCAGAAGGUUCGGGCUUAGGAUGAAUCCGAAGAAAUGCACUUUCGGUGUAUCGGCUGGUUAGUUCCUGGGUUUCCUGGUUCAUGAAAGAGGAAUCGAGGUCGGCCUAAAGAGUCAAGAAGCUGUAAAAAUAAUGGUGCCACCCCAUCACUCUAGCAGCCAGUCAGAGUUUUACCUUCAGACCAAGGACGCCCGCAUCGACAUUUGAAGAUUCUGCCAUCUGAAACCCCAACGAAGAUCGAGAGCCUGGAAAUUGGAUCUAGGGUUUGCUGCUAAAGUUUCGAGUUCAUGCUCUAAGGAUUUGGUCCGGGUCUUUGCGGUUAGGGUUUAUGAGCAAGGGUUUUGGAGAGUAACUUGGAUUUAGGGAAUCUUUGAAGAUCUGUUUCAGGAAGGUUUCGGAUUUAAGCAGAAAAUGAAAUUGAUUUGAGAAUCGACUCGGAUCCAAAUCGGCAUUUUGAGGGAAAGAACCGAUGCGUUGCCAUCGGCUUCCAAGAAAUCGGCUUCUUGACAAGGUUGCAGUUUAACUUAAAAGGUUUUUAUUUAUAGGGGGAAAUGAUUACAAAAGGGGAGCCGAUUGCUCCUAGAGCCGAUCCAUCGGCUUAAUCCUACGAUCUACCACCAGAAGGUGCCUGAGACUCUGCGGCGCUUGAUCGGAGGAGCCAUGCUAGCAUCACUGUCGCCGUCGCUGCUGUCGCUGUCGCUGCCGCUAUCGUCUCCGCUGCUGUCGCUGCUGAAGCCGCUGCUGUCUUUGGUUUCGUCGUCGUCGUCAUCCUCCGACGAUUCGCCAAGCAGGAAGUCUCCUGCCACCAAGUCCUCCUCAGUUGAGGAGGAAUCGACUUCUUCCUCCAAGGAAAAGAAGUCCCCCUCCCAGGACACGUCGUCCUCGUCGUCUUCAUUCAGCUCCCCGCCGAGGAGAAGCUGAAGAUCUUCACCAUUGGUCAGGGAUUCGUCAUCCUCUAACCAAGUUUGGAAGUCCCACUUUCUGCAUCCCAAUGCAGAGGAGAGCAGGCCUCGUAGGCGGCAAUGGGGUCAUAUUCUGGGGUGGCUUCUUGAGUGGACUCGGACUCAAAGGAAAUGGCGGAGGAAGCAGAGGAAGAAGAAGAAGCCAUUGCGAGAGAAGGACGGUUGUAUUGGUGCGUUUGCUAAUGGCUGAAGGAAGGGGACGAGUGAAAAGAAAACUACCGGGGACAGGUUUAUAAAGAUGGAGUGGAAUAUGAAUCGGCAUCGUGACGGUUUCCAAGGAGUUAGAUGCAGAGUAGUCACAUCUUGUGGAAGUGGAACCAGCACGCGUGUACGGAUUUUGGAAGACGAAGAGGCGGGGCGAUAAAUGAGAAAAAAUAGUUUCAGAAUAAUUAUUGUCGAAACCAGGGGCAUGUGUUAUCGCCAUAAUUUAGCUUGGCCAGAAGGUGGGCUGCGAGCAAGAUGGGCUCAAAGGAUAAUCGAAGUGGGCUUGCGAAUCGGCCUUUGCGCGGGCGUUUUAAGGCCAGGAUCGGCCAUGUAUCUAGAUAGGUGUGUGCAUUUAAAUUAGUUUAGAUAGAGAUAGCUAGGAUUCAUGUCAUAAUCAGUUAGGAUUGGUUAGGAAAGGCAAGUCUCCGGACUAUAAAUAUGUACCUUGGACUAUGAAUGAAGGACGAACAUCAAUCAUUCACAAACAACUCUCGGCGCAUCGCCACCCCUGUUUUAGGGUUUCUCGGGUAAGUGCCGUGCAGCCCCGAUCACGCUUCUCGUGAUGGGGGCAGCAUUGUUCCUACCUGUCUACCUUUGUGUUUCUCAUACAGAAGCAUUGUUGAUGGCGAGUAACACUAGUUAUCUUGGCGUUUAUAGGGAGCAUCAGCUCUUUCAUGCUUUAUUCAUUCAUCGUUUGUUACCUGUGAACAUUUAGCUGUCCUUGUACUCAAUCUUGGGUGUAAGAGCAGCACCUUGCUCUGUUAUUGAUUAGUAAAUCCAAUCUGUUAUGGUUAGUCUUUAUUCAUUGAAGAUUCAGCUUAACAUCCGCAUGAUUAGGCCCUUCAAAUGGGUUGAACGUUCCGGCAGUACGCUUAAUACUUUUUAUCAAUCUAAAAAGGGAUUGUUCCAGGAAUCGGCUCUCUGUUGGUUUUUAGGCCUCUGUUUAGGUUGCUAUUCUGUUACCUUUCGUAUCUGUUAGGCUUAAUUGCUCGUAGGAUGUUCCGGUUAUGCGGUGAAAGUUUUAACCGUCAUAGAUUGGACUAGCUUACUAAUUAUAGAGCAAGUUUUAUAUUACCAUCAGAUAUGCGCGCUUUGUUCAAAUACUUAGAUCCGAUCUGAUACUGGACACAAUCGGCUCUUUAUAGCCGAUAUCGGGAAUCACUCAAUGAGCCGAUCACGGCUCGGACUAAUGUUUACACGUGUCUGUGCAUGCAGGAAACUAACAUAAAUCACUUCUACACCUUCCUGAUCAGGUACAAGGUUAGGUGGCACGCCUAGCAACCCAGACGCCAGAUUGUGUGCCGGAUCCUGGGCCGUUGAUCGAGGGACCGGGGCCCACCACCAGUCCCGGGAGCCUCUCGGCUCCUCGUGUUGCCUAUCACUGCUCACCGGUGGGUUUUGACCGACAACAUUCUCGGCGAGGAGCCCACUCCUCUGACAUCGCUCAAGGGAGACACUCCCUCGAACGGGCCGCUAGCCGACCGCGACACUGAGGCUCUAGCGCGGUCCAUCGAGCUCAUGCUCGGUGCUGAACCCUCAGCGAGUGACAUGGGACCUGGUUCUAUUCUCGCUGCACAACUUCUUCCGCCAACUUUCCGACGGGACCCGCUAUCCCCGCCGCACCCAUCGUGUGGUCAGUUCUCAUUCGGCGUCACGAACGCUACAGGCGUACACGCCAGGGAGCUUCCAAGAACCAUGCCGCUACCUUUGCUCGCAACCAAGCUCGUGGGCAUGAUGGGGUAUGGCCCCACCUUGUUCCACGAUCUCCUCUCCGACAAUGACCUUCCUUACUAAGGGCUCCAGCAUCGGGGAUGUGUCAUCCCUCGGCCAUCCUGUGCUACCGGAAUGCGUCAUGGCUGAUGUGCAGGGGCUACAACCGGUUCCGGUGGAAAUCGGGGACACGCACGGCGGGGACCUACGGCAGCGGCAGGAGCACUGGCCACCACCCGCAUCUAUCCACACACGACGCAACUCCGAGCCUAAUGCUCGUGACGUGUCAUGCGGCACGCAGGCCCACACCCGUCAAGUCUAGCAGGCCAUCAUCGCGGAUGCCAACAGCCUCCCGAAUUGCGUGGGCCGGGCAGAACAUAGCCGCCGUGGCGAUGCUCCUAUGCAACCUUCCCGAGCCUGCAGACCCUCAACAGCAGUAGCUCCACCGCAACAUCCGGACGUUGGUGAAGCGUGCCACCAUGUAGCAGGUGGAAAGGUCCACGUCAUGCCACCGGCAUAGGGCUUCCUGCCCCGUUGGAGGGGUAGGCUCACAGCAGCCAAACCCCUUAGUCCAUUAGCGGCAAGGGCUUCCACCCCGGGCGGGUCGCGACACUGCAGCUGCACCAUGUCUCGAAGCGGCGUCCACCGCACAGUGCCCCCCAUUGCGCAGCCGGCUCGGGCCCAACUACGAUGCAUGCAGCGUCAUCCACUUGCUCCAAGUGGCUCGCCGCGGCGCGAAUGUUGACUGGGCCACCGUGGAUGUGGCCGAGGCUCACCAGCCUGAGGGGGAGCACGAGGAGGCGCCUUCUAGGCAAGGUGGCCGACCGUGCGACCGGGACGACGACCGGAGCCCCAUCCCGGACGGCCCGGGCCCACGGGCCUUCUGACGCCGCAUCCAGAAAGCGCCAUUCCCGCCACGCUUCCGACCACCCACCAACAUCACCAAGUACACCGGGGAAAUGAACCCUGCUGUAUGGCUGGAAGAUUUCCGACUCGCCUGCCCAGCCGGAGGGGCGAAUGAUGACUACUUCAUCAUCCAGUACCUCCCCAUUUGUGUCAGGGAGCACGUUCGAGUGUGACUCGAAUUCCUACCACCCAACAACAUUUGUAGUGGGGCGGAGCUCAAGCAGGUCUUCGUCAGGAACUUCCAGGGGACGUACGUGCGCCCCGAAAACUCCUACAACUCAAGAGCUGCAAGCAGUAGCCUGGCGAGUCCUUACAGGACUACAUCCGCACGUUCUCCAGGAAGUGCAAUUAUCUAACUGAUGUCAUCGACACAGACGUUGUUGGUGCAUUCCUCACUGGAACCACCUGCAAGUCCCUCGUUCAUAAGCUCGGUUGUUGAAAGCUAUGCACCACCCGCGAGCUUUUGGACAUUGCCAUGAACCACGCCUCCGACGAGGAGGCGGUCGGGGCGGUCUUCACUGAUGGCUGGACCAUGGGAAAGGCCAAGCCGGCAGAGCAGGAUGAGGGUCCCUCCAUAGUGUAGGAGAAGAAGAGGAGGAGGGACCGACGUCGCCCCAGCCCCAAUACGGUCACAGCGGCCGACCGAGCAGGCAAGCGACAAGGCAACGACGACCAUUUCGAGCAGCUCUUGGAGAAGCCAUGCACCAACCACGGCUUCCCCGUCAAGCACAAGCUCAAGGAUUGCGAGGUCCUCAAGUGGAUGCUGGAUUAGCCCAGUAGGUGCAAUGCCGGGGACCGCGACAAAGCGCCCAAGGAGCAGGGAGCGCGGCCCAAGGACGGGAACACCUUCCCUGACCCAAAGGGCUGCCUUAUGAUCUUUGGAGGCCCUGAGGACGACUGCAUCAAGUGCCAACACAAGGUCUGCCUCUGAGAGGUAUGUGCCGCCAAGAACUCUGUUGUAACACCCUAAUUUUAAAAUUAGGAACCUAACUAAAUUUUGAAUGAUUAUUUACAGGAUCCAUAAGGUUUUAUUCAAUUAUUUUGAUUUUAGAGCAUUUACUGUGAAUUAAUAGUAAUUUACUUGACCCUAAAAAGAAAUAUAAGGAAAUAUAGGUCUUGUGCAUUUCAUGCCAUUGCAUUGUUUUAUUGUUUGUCUUCCAUUUGAAUUUAAAUUUCAAAUUCAAAAUCAAAUGCAUUUGAAUGCAAUUUUUCUCCCUCUUUUUCCCUUUGGGCCCGGCCCAUUCUCUCUUUCUCUUUCCCCUCUCUCUUUUUCUUCCACGCGGCCCAAGCCCAGUCGGCCUUUCUUCCUUCCCCUCCCUUCCUCCCGCACGGCCCAACUGGCCCAGCUGCUUGCGCCUCCCCCGGCCCAGCCAGCCCGCGCGCACCUCUCUCCUUCCCUCCUCUCUCGAUGACAGCCGGGACCCACCUGUUGGGGUCUUCCCCGACCUCGAGCUCGAGCCGGGCUCGGAUUCGCGUUUAGUCUGGCAGCGGCAUGGCCUUCCCCCGCCGCACGACGCUCGGGCCCACAUGCCAAGGCACCCGCGGUCGCCGUAUAAAACUGCCACCCCGUGCCCUAGGACCUGCAAGACCAGCAGCCACCGCCUUUUGCUUCGCAACCCUAGCCACGCCACCGCCUUCACCACCACUCCUCGGUCGCCAUCGCCAUCACCGCCUCACCGCUCUUCUGUUGCCGCAAGCCACCACUGGAGCUUCGUCUUGGGGUGAGGAACCUCGCCAGCCUCUUUUCCC